rnacentral:rRNA from 2 species
AUACUACCCUGGCUGUAUUGAAAUUCUAACCCGCGGCCCUUAUCGGGCCGGGAGACAGUGUCAGGUGGGCAGUUUGACUGGGGCGGUCGCCUCCUAAAAUGUAACGGAGGCGCCCAAAGGUUCCCUCAGAAUGGUUGGAAAUCAUUCGUAGAGUGUAAAGGCACAAGGGAGCUUGACUGCGAGACCUACAAGUCGAGCAGGGACGAAAGUCGGGCUUAGUGAUCCGGUGGUUCCGCAUGGAAGGGCCAUCGCUCAACGGAUAAAAGCUACCCCGGGGAUAACAGGCUUAUCUCCCCCAAGAGUCCACAUCGACGGGGAGGUUUGGCACCUCGAUGUCGGCUCAUCGCAUCCUGGGGCUGUAGUCGGUCCCAAGGGUUGGGCUGUUCGCCCAUUAAAGCGGUACGCGAGCUGGGUUCAGAACGUCGUGAGACAGUUCGGUCCCUAUCCGUCGUGGGCGUAGGAAAUUUGAGAGGAGCUGUCCUUAGUACGAGAGGACCGGGAUGGACACACCGCUGGUGUACCAGUUGUCUUGCCAAAGGCAUCGCUGGGUAGCUAUGUGUGGACGGGAUAAGUGCUGAAAGCAUCUAAGCAUGAAGCCCCCCUCAAGAUGAGAUUUCCCAUAGCGCAAGCUAGUAAGAUCCCUGAAAGAUGAUCAGGUUGAUAGGUCAGAGGUGGAAGCGUGGCGACAUGUGUAGCUGACUGAUACUAAUCGAUCGAGGACUUAACCAAA